rnacentral:rRNA from 1 species
GAUGAACGCUGGCGGCGUGCCUAAUACAUGCAAGUCGAGCGAAGCGGGGACGGGUGAGUAACACGUGGAUAACCUCCUAUAUGACUGGGAUAACUUCGGGAAACCGGAGCUAAACCGGAUACUUAUACAUUGAUCCGCGCUGCAUUAGCAAGUUGGUAAGGUAACGGCUUACCAAGGAAACGAUGCAUAGCCGACCUGGGAGGGUGAUCGGCCACACUGGAACUGGGACACGGUCCAGACCCCUACGGGAGGCAGCAGUAGGGAAUCUUCCGCAAUGGGCGAAAGCCGGACGGAGCAACGCCGCGUGAGUGAUGAAGGUCUUCGGAUCGUAAACCUCUGUUAUUGGGGAAGCGGUACCUAAUCAGAAAGCCACGGCUAACUACGUGCCAGCCGCCGCGGUAAUUC